UUUAUGUUGUUCCUUUCUAAUACAUAGUUUUCAUGAUGUACAAGACCUGUUUAUUAGAAGUGAUAGAUCGUCAAGGGCAGUACAUUUCCUUAAACUUCAAUUUUGGCCAAAAUAGUACAAAAUAAUUAACAACAGAAAAAGUUCUUGACAGCAAAUGCUAGGUACAGAUGUACAGUGGGAUGAGGCAGCUUCCAAAACCAGAUUCUGUUGGAUUAAAAGUGCCAUCUUUUCAUACAUGAGGGAUUAAUUUUGGAUGUUUAGGGACACCAUCUCAUUUAAAUUAAGCUUCCUGGAAAAACAGUGGUUUGGAAAAACCAAGAUGGAGUUUUUGAACCUGCUAAGUCAUUUAGUCUUUCAUGCUCUGCUUCAAAGUUCAUUGGUGGAUACAAGAACUUUGUAAUGCUUUCUCCUGGUGCAACCUCUUUGCAGUCCCUUGUGCAUGGCAGUAAUCCCAGUGCAGCACACUAACCCCAGUUUCUCUAGAUUGCAUGGCACCUACCCCUUCCACUUGGCUUUACUGAAGGAGUUGGGGAUUUUGUGUUGGAAUGCUUCACGCUGUGAAACGGCUGCACUCCUGCAGUGCUCAGUUCUCACAAUUCCUCUCUGCUGAGAGUCAGAGGGGUUGGUCUGUGGUGUAGGUGACAAAGCUGCUCUGCAGAGAAUGUGUGCGUAGCAUUUGUCAGGUGGAUCCUGUAUCAACUUGUGAUUAAUUGAUGAGCUGAGUUAGAACGCUGAAAACAGGAUUGUAGAAGAUUUAAAAACCCAUCAUCUCUAAGCCCAGAGGGUUUGUAUCUCUUCUCAGUGUUUGUGUUUGGUUAUCCUGUUUCCUUGACUCCUUCAGUGUUUUGGCAUUAGGUGUAACUGGAGGUUUGUCUUUUGUAUUUAGCUGUGCUGUGUUUCAGACCAUCUGUGGGAUAGUCCAGUGAUAAAAUGAGAUUUUAUUUUUUAUUUUUGAUAAUGUGAGUUCCUGAAUCUGCUUCUGUUCUGUUUGAGCUGUGAGCUCCUUUGCCUGAGUUUAAUCUGUGGUUGUAACAGGAUAGUGCUUCUGAAGAUGGUUGUGUUCACAAUGAAUGCUACAGCUGUUGGAUGCUUGUGGUCAGAGAACCUUUGAAAAGGGCUUAGUACUUACAAUACUUGUUAACCUUUUUGUGGAAGUGUUUCUUAGUAUUUUUGGAAACUUUGCCUCUUCGUUUGUGGUUUUUGGAUGUUCUGGUAAUUAGGCUUAUUUUCAAGUCGUGGUAUUCUCAUGGGCUAGUGGCAAUAUGGACAUCAGUAAUCUGCCAGUCAGCAGUAACCAAACUUUGAAACUUACCCUUUUUUAACAUAAGAAAGCCUGUUUGCACUGUCUGCUCCCUCAGGGCUUGUUUACUUGAUGAUUGAGUUAUGACCACAGACUUGAUUUGCCUCAACAUAGACAGUUUGGGUUUUCUUGUUACUGUUUGUCUUAAAGUGCUUGUAGGUACAGAACUUCUUAUCUUCCACCUGAAAUGCUGAAAUGGUCCUUAUGAGGUACUAGGGCUGGAAUGAAGAAUGUUGACUUUGUUAGUGUUACAAACUGUACCUUUGAAUUUAUAAUUCUAGUGAGUUUCCUACUUGGUUUUGAAAAAUAUACCUUGGCUAGAGCAGGUUGCUGAGUGGAGUGCACUCCUGAAAGGAUAGAACUGAAGGUGGUUGGUUUAUAUUCUGCUAUAUAGGUCAUACAUUCACAAAAUAAUAAACCUUGUGUUUGAGAUGCUGCUGUCAGAUCAAAAAAAACACGAAAGAAUUAAAAUCCUGUGAUGAUCAGAGCCAUAACCCUGAACAUCUGCAAGCUGUGCUGAUUUAAACUCACUGAAACUUCUCUGAAAACUCAGUUGUGGCAGACUCAGUGUUGCAUUAGGUGUUAUCUCACUUCAAACAGCUGGUAGAAAGUUAAUCAAAACCCCACAUGAGCACUUUGUGCUCUGUCAUGCUGCUGUGGCCAAAAGAUAGGCAGGAGUUGGGAGGUGAUAGUGGCCAGGCCUGCAAGCUGGGCUGUCCUGGUGUGAGGUGGAUUGCACGGAUGGCCUGACUGCUAAUUACCUACUGCAUAUAAAGGAAGUGGAAGACUUUUAGAUGUUGUCAGAUUCAAAAUGUUGUGGUGGGGAUUAAAGUAUGUUUAAUUGAGAAGAUAAGUAAAACAUUUUAUCAGAAGGAGAUGAUUAAAUAGAAUUCUCUUUCGUUUCUCUGGCUUUUACAAUGAAGUUAACUUUGCACCAUAUUGAGUUAAUUUUAAACUCACUAAAAUGAGGUAAUUUUUGAACCUGACUUAAAACUGACAGUCAAGAAAAAAUAUUUUUAGAAGCUUCUGGUAAUAACUCCUAAAAUUUGGCUUUGGCCUAUAGCUUAUCCUUACCUGAGAAUCUCAAAUGAGGGCUUUUCUGGCUCUUCUUUGCAAUGCAACCAACAUCAAGAGAAUUUAAUAAAAAUAGAAAAAACAAAACCCUGUAGCUGCUAGUUUACCAGCAGUGAAAGUAAAGCUGAAUCAUUUCAUUCACUUGAAUGUUAGAGGGAGAUGAAAUAGUAACACCUGGUUUGGAAAAGCUCACAUGUGCUUGCUGGUCUGUUAUGUGAUAGAACAGAUAACAUGGUACAUUGAGAACGCUUCAGUUCCUCUUUCUUUUUGAAGUUAACGUCAAAUUUGAAAUUCCCUGCAUUGUUUCUUAUUUGUAAAUUUAUUUGAGUUACUAGAAUGAGAGAGGAAUCCAGCCUGGGUGACUGGUCAUAGAAUUCAUGUUGUGGAGCACACAUUCGUGAUGGCCAGAAAAGAGAAUUACUGUCUGUAAUGGAGUUGCUUGAAGGUGUUACUAAACCAGCUGAAAAUGCAAAGCAGUAGCUCUGGAAUCUUCUGUCUUGGUUCCAGUCACAAGCUUGAUUGGAUUGUGGCGCAGGAGGGGAAUUUACCUCCCAAUAAUAAAAGAAGUCAUGAGGCUGCAGAGGCUUUGAGACAUCUGGUAGAGAAGCUGGGCAGCCUCAUCCAUCUUUCGGUUUCCCUCCAGAAAUACACGUCAAGUCUGUGUUAAUCUUUGUAACUGAUAUAUAGAGUGAGAUUAACUUGCCAAUUUAUCACACAUUUGCAUAACUGUCACCAUAGUCACCUCUGGCAAAGUUUUCUCCUAGACAUGUAGUUGGAGGCUGCCUUUUACUCUUCACAGUAACUAAAUCUGCAUUUGUCAUCCUGUUGUGAUAUUUGUCAUACUCAGCCAUGGAAAUACUGUGCUUUGCUUUUGUGUAAGAGCAUUCUGCAGUAUCAGUCACUGUCAUUCUCCUUCCAGGGGGAGCUAGACUGUGGAUGUUUUAAAAUUGUUUUGAACUUUGCUAUGAAAGUAUUUCUGAAGGAAAAUGGAGAAAACUCACAUGGCCAAGGCUCAGCCUUUCCUGCAGCUUUUCUUAGCUACAGGACAAGGCCUCCUGUCUGCAGAGGACUUUGGCCAGGCUUUCUGUAAUAACACUGCCUCUCAUCAGAAGGCACUUUUGUGCUUUGAGUUACUUGGACAUCUCCUGUUGAGUAGUCACUCAGACACCCCUGAGAAUUACUCUGCUCAUCUCAUUUCUUACUGCUGGGUGCCUAUGGAAAUGCAGUCAGGUCCUUAUCACCAAAUGUACUGCACUUGGAUAAUGAAAGGGCAUUAUUCAUCUGUUCUACACCAAGUGGGAGCUGGCUGGCCAGGAGAGCAGUAGAGAGCUAGAAAUUCACUUGGAGCUAUUUUGGCUGUAUCUGGUACUGCCUGCAAGCAGGAGUAGCAUUCACAAGCCUCCUGCCCUCGGUUUUUGAUUGAGCUCCUGAGUAAUUGCAAAGAGGUGGAAGAUUUUUCUUUUGGGGACAUUCACCUUGAGAGUUAGGACAACCGCCAAAAUGUUUCUUUUAUUAAACACCUCUAGUGCUACUUCUGUCUUUUCUGGGAUUGGAUGCUGUACCCCUGAGAAGAACAGCAAAUCUUAAGGUCCUUUAAACCAGUAAGGGAGAAGCAGGAAAACAAUGCAGCUUGUCUUGUGCUGUUGACAUUAAUUUCAAGGACUAUUCUCUUCAUUUGGCUUUUGCCUUUCUCAUCAGGAAAACAUGAUCACGAGUUAUCCCAGUGAAUGCAAAAGUGGUGGGUGUUUGGCAGUGUCUCCUUCUCCAGUGAACCCUGCCUGUUCUCUGGCUGCCCGGGCUCAGCACUGCUCCCCUGCCAGCACAAGCAAGGGAGGUGCUUUGCAGCCUGUGGAUGGUGUGCCAAAUUCCACUUUGAUUCUGAAAAAAUGUGUACACCACUUAGAAAAAACUGCAUAUCAAAGGUCGCCUUGUUUGGAAGAAGAGUAUAAAUAUUUGUAUCAGGCUAGACAAAUUCAAAUGAGAAGAUAAACACACAUUUUUAACACAUAGAUGAUUAACUGUUGGAAGGAGCUGCCAAGAGCAGUAGUUUCUCUGGCUUUCAUGUCUUAAAGACCAGCUUUCUGAAAAAUAUCUCGUAGUGAGAAGGGAGUGCUUGGGCUUUACAGAGAAGUCGAGGAAGCUCUGGGAGCCUGGGGCACAGAGCAAGGUGCACCAUGGAGCACAGUGUUCCUUCCAGCCCUCCUCCGUGGGCUGUACCUUGGCUUCUGCCCUCCUGAUGUGUUGCCAUUGAUGCACAGGUCAUGUUCUCUUACUGUGGUUUUCAGACUGGGGGAUGCUUUUGUGGUGUGGGGGCCGCUUUGUCUCUUGGGAGGAGCUGAGGAAGCAGGGGAGCUGGGAAGAGAGGAGCCAACACCACGUGCAUCUGGGGCAGCCUGAUGACUGUUGCCCUAAAGCAUCCAGUUUGGGAUGUGUAGGUGCCAAGAGUGGACUUCAUGUGGGAGAAGACAUUCUGGAUCUGUUCAGCUCUCUUGGUAAAAUCUUGCCUGCUCCCACUGGAUCUCUGCAGAAGGAGCAUAUAAACUGACGAUACUGUUUCCAGGCACAAAAGAGAAUUGUAAGUAUUGUUAGUGUUGGGUGCUAGUCAUGUUCCUGGUUUGGUGUUUUUUCAGUUGAGAAAAUCUUUGUUGCUGUGCUCUCUUUAUUGGUUGUUUGCAUCAGAAGUUCAUUUUGAGAAGCAUACAUGGAACUAUUUUUUUUUUGUCUGUUUAAAUACCUGCAUGUAUAUGUGUGCAUACAUUUGCAUUUAUAAACAUCGUUAUUGACAGAUUUUGAAAAAUUAGUUGUAUUUCUAAACUGUGGUGGGUUUUAAGGCAUAGAUCUUUACUAUGGGUGGGAAAGGAAGAAUGUUUGGCAACUUUGAGAUGGAUUGGAGAUGCCAAGCAACAAAAGUUGGUGCAGCUUGGGAGUCAUGUCUCCUCUAAGGCUAAUUGUACAGGUUUCAUAAUUAAAUGCAGUAUUUAGUCAAAACUACUAUUGAAUGUCAACUUGAAACACUAUUUUUAAAAAAAUUCAGGCUUGUCAUUUUUAUGUCAAAAAUGGAACAGCAGCUAAUGACUUAGUGUUCCUGACAUUGGGAACUGGGUUUUGUGGUGAAAGUUCAUGAAAUACUUUGAAACCUACUGAGCCUCAGAAGAGAUGUACUGUUACUGUGAGCAUGUGAUGCUUUCAGGGUCAUUUAAAGACGAUGGUCUCUGGAGCUCUGUAAAUCAGGGAUGUGUGCUCACACUGGAAGAUGGGAUUUGCUUGCUGUAGUCCUACAGGGAUAGAUGGAUGAGGAAUAAAUUGCAUGUUGGGGGGUGUAAUUGGAGAGGGCAGGUAUCUCUUCUUUUUUUUGUAAUUAAUACCUGGAACCCUUAGUGUCAGAGCCACAGUGUCAUAUUUAAGCCUCGGGGUAGAAGGGAGAAUAUUUUUCAAAUUAUUAACCUGAAAAGAUGAGACCUUGCAAACGGAGCGUGGACAGUGCAAUAUGAAACGUGGAGCUUCACUUACUGUCUCGUGUCUGUGCUAUUUCAACAGCACUAAUAGCCAUUUGAUGAAAGUAUAAACUUAGUGAUUUUGUGCUUUUGCCAAAUUACUAUGGAAGUGUUGACAAAACAGCUGGGGAAGUCAUUCAUCACAUUUUUCUGAAGUCACUCAUGAGAUUCUUUUCUUUUUAAAUUUAACUGCAUGGCUUUUUCUUGAUGUAUCUUUUUUUCUUUUACGGUAAUCUGGGUUUGCUGUGCAUUAAGGUUUUGAAGACUGGUUUAAAGCUGAUAAUCAAUGGAAAAAUAUGUAACACUGCUGUACAAUUUGCAAAUUAGGGCUUGCUCAGAACUGUUCUGAAGUUUCUCCUUUAGUGAGGGCCACUAAUGGGAAUAUAAGAUGACGUCUUGAUACUUCAACUCAUUAGUUUUUAAGAGUUAUAAAGAUCUGUUGCAAAAGUAGAAGAGCACUUUUCCUCUGCUUUUGCUGUUUGAAGAGCUUUUUAAUUAGAAGCCAAUUUUGCUUGACCUGGUGGUGGAAACUCCUGGAAGGGAAGACAAGAAGCGAAGUUUUGUCUUUGGGGGCAGUGAGGGAGCUGUUUCAUCUGGAACUGGGAGGUUCUGGAGAACAAGUAUGAGAGAUGUGAAGGUCUGUGGGGCUCUGCUUGGGCACAGGGGCAGAGGAAACACUGGUGGGAGGCACCUCGUGUCUGGGUACACCAUGGAGGACCUGCCAGGGCUGCAUGCAGUUGCACUGUGGAAUUUUUAUUUCUUUGUUUUCCUCUAGUAAUGAGUAUUAGGUUUCAUUAUAGGGGCCAGUUUCUUUCUUUUUUUUUUUUUUUUUAAACUCAGUAGGAUUUUGGUUUGCACUUCAAAUACAAUUUCAAAGUGAAACUUGGUCUGCGAGGCUUCCUCAUGGCAGAGAUGAAACCCACGGGGAUUUCUGUCUGAGGUCGAAAUAUAGCUGAGAUGAAAAAACCCUCUUUGUUUCAGGACAGUUUGAGUUGGAAGGGAUCUUAAAGUUCAGCCAGUUCUGAUCCCCUGCCCUGGGCAGGGACACCUUCCACUAGACCAGGUUGCUCAGAGCCCUGUCCAACCUGUCCUUCAACACUUCCAGGGAUGGGGCAGCCACAGCUUCUCUGGGCAACCUGUGCUAGGUAAAAUUUCUCCCAAAAAGAAAUUUCCACAGUAAAAAUUUCUUCCAAAUAUCUAAUCUAAAUCUGCCCCCUUUCAGGUUUAAAGCCAUUCCCCCUUGUCUGCUUUUGUAAGUAUCAAACCAAAUAAAAUAAUUUGAUGUCAGUGAUACAAUUUCUGGAGGAUGUAAGAGACAGAGAGAGGUACAGUGUUCUGAGCUCCAUCUCAGCCAUGAGUUUGUGAGGUGUGUUGGAGAGAGAAGCCCCAGGAGCAGGAGCCCCUGGUACAGGUUGUUAAAGGGUCUGGUCACUUUAGUUUAUUGCUGUGCAAUGAGACUUGCAGGAAACUGGGGUAGACCUCUGACAUGACCCCGAAGAGUGUAGAAAAUAUAAUCUUUUAAGUAAUCUUGAUUGCUGUUUAAAAAUCAGGUCCAUUUGGUCAAACUUCAAGCUUUAAAUCUUGCUAAUUUGUAUUUAUAUAUGUCAAGCUGUGAAGCUCGUUCCUCAUUCUUUGCUUCCUUUCAAAAUUCAUGCAGAAAUGAAUAAAAGGCCCCUGCUUAAUAAAGUCUUUUAAAAUUAAUAAAAUUCCCUUUGAGCAUGCAAAUUGGGUCAUCUCUCUGCUUGCUGGAAACGUGAGGAUUCAUGCUACCUCCUGCCAUUUGCAUUUCCAACAUCCCAGAUCUUUAAGAUGAGAGCAGCCGGCGUUAUCCAUACGGAUGCCCUGGUGUGCUUUAACAGAAGGAAAAUAGCUGCAGAAAGCUGGGUGUGCUCAGCCUGUGCCUUCUCUCUUGCUUCAGAAACAAUGCAGGACCAAUUCACUGGGCUUUAACAGGUUCUGACGAGGAAGUUUUGGCAGGGAGGAAGUAACUCCAGGCUCUCCCAGCAGCUCCCUCUCUUUAGGCCAGGCUCCAGAGCUCGACCUGGUCCAACAGGAGUGGCUUUAGCCAUUGGUCCCUGGUAGCCACCAUGGGGAGCAGCAUGAUGGCAUUUCCUUUCAAAGCAGCACCGUUGUGGUUGGUGUGUGCUGAAAACUCACUUUAUUUUAUCAGUUUGUUGCAGAUUGGGGAAUCUUUGUGGUGAAAUGUGCCUUGAGUAGCUUGUGAUGUGCUGGGAAUGCAGGAUUCGUGUUGGUACACGCUGAGCUGAAUGCAGGAUAUAAUGGGGUUCUUGGGUGUGGAUGGGGGUGGUAGGUAAAAUCCACCUAAAAAAAAAAAAGGGAAAA